rnacentral:rRNA from 1 species
AACGAACGCUGGCGGCAUGCCUAACACAUGCAAGUCGAACGGGACCUUCGGGUCUAGUUGCGCACGUGUGCGUACCGCGUGGUAACCUGCCUUUAGGUUCGGAAUAACUCAGAGAAGGUUGAGCUAAGACCGGAGGAUGUCUUCGGGCCAAAGAGUUAUCGCCGUUAGAUGGGCCCGCGUUGGCUUAGCUGGUUGGGGGGGUAAAGGCCUACCAAGGCGACGAUCCAUAGCUGGUCUGAGAGGAUGAUCAGCCACACUGGGACUGAGACACGGCCCAGACUGCUACGCGAGGCAGCAGUGGGGAAUAUUGGACAAUGGGCGCAAGCCUGACACAGCAAUGCCGGGUGAGUGAUCAAGGCCUUAGGGUUGUACAGCUCUUUUAGCCGAGAUGAUAAUGACAGUAUCGGGAGAAUAAGCUCCGGCUAACUACGUG